rnacentral:lncRNA from 1 species
CCUCAAAGAGUGCUCUGGCUGUCAGCAUCACCCACCCGUAGCAGCUCCACUGUUUGCUUUGGGCUUUUGGUGAAUAAGCAGGUCUCCUGUUGUUCGAGCGUCUCCUCGCUGCCCUGUAUGUGAAGUGUCGCUGUCAGGAUUAAAGCCUCGUAAUGAAGAGCAGAGGGAGAGCCACGGACCCGAAGGAUCUGCUCUGUCCUACAACAAUGGUGUGCAGUUCAAGCUCCGCUGACGACAUUCGACCCUCCAGUGCGGGCUGCGUGUGAGCCAGGACGAGAG